CUACGGGCUGCUCCAGUGGGGAAUAUUGGACAAUGGGGGAAACCCUGAUCUAGCCAUGCCGCGUGAGCGACGACGGCCCUAGGGUUGUAAAGCUCUUUCAGCAGGGAAGAUAAUGACGGUACCUGCAGAAGAAGUCCCGGCUAACUCCGUGCCAGCAGCCGCGGUAAUACGGAGGGGACUAGCGUUGUUCGGAAUUACUGGGCGUAAAGCGCGCGUAGGCGGAUUGUUAAGUCGGGGGUGAAAUCCCGGGGCUCAACCCCGGAACUGCCCUCGAUACUGGCAGUCUUGAGUUCGAGAGAGGUGAGUGGAAUUCCGAGUGUAGAGGUGAAAUUCGUAGAUAUUCGGAGGAACACCAGUGGCGAAGGCGGCUCACUGGCUCGAUACUGACGCUGAGGUGCGAAAGCGUGGGGAGCAAACAGGAUUAGAUACCCGUGUAGUC
rnacentral:rRNA from 1 species